rnacentral:tRNA from 1 species
GGGUGCUUAACUCAGUUGGUUAGAGUGCCACGUUUACACCGUGGAUGUCAGAGGUUCAAAUCCUCUAGCGCCCA